rnacentral:rRNA from 1 species
GAUGAACGCUGGCGGCGUGCCUAAUACAUGCAAGUCGAGCGCCCGGAUUUAUCCGGGAGCGGCGCACGGGUGAGUAGCGCGUGGGAACAUGCCCUGAAGUACGGAACAACCUGGGGAAACCUCGGCUAAUACCGUAUACGCCCUGAGGGGGAAAGAUUUAUCGCUUUGGGAUUGGCCCGCGUUGGAUUAGCUGGUUGGUGUGGUAACGGCGCACCAAGGCGACGAUCCAUAACUGGUCUGAGAGGAUGACCAGUCACACUGGGACUGAGACACGGCCCAGACUCCUACGGGAGGCAGCAGUGGGGAAUAUUGGACAAUGGGCGAAAGCCUGAUCCAGCCAUGCCGCGUGAGUGAAGAAGGCCUUCGGGUUGUAAAGCUCUUUCAGCGGGGACGAUGAUGACGGUACCCGCAGAAGAAGCCCCGGCUAACUUCGUGCCAGCCGCCGCAGUAA